UCAUGCUAUUACCUUUUUGCCUAUAAUAAACGAAGCUUUAUUGUUCAAUGUUUUGUGAUGCAAGUGGAAUGGAAUGAUGAAUUUCACCUGAUAGAUUUGAAAAUUAAUUUGUUGAUUGUUACUUCUAUUUCAAGAUGGAUUCUCAGCCAAAGGUUAUUAAAGGUUUGAUUCUCACAGAGGCUUGAUUUUGAAGGCUUAAUUAGAACUUCUAUUCUAAUUAACAGUUCUUUUUAACUUCUAUUUAUACAUUACAAGCCAGAAAAUGCUUGUUUAUUUUGAAACUUCAACUAAUUCGUGCUUUCUCUGCUGGAUUUAUAACUUGGGUUGGUCAAAUCUGUUUCGAUCUCUUUAACAAGGGCCUAUUUAGACAUCUCUCGAAAGAAAUUAGGAUUUGUUUAGAUUUUUUCAGAGGAAUCAAUGAUACAAAUCCACCUUAUCAUUUGGAUUGGGUCACAAAACAGGAAACACAUUGGGCAGGCUCCUGUUUUCUUAAUUUUUCUGCUCCAGAGUAGUUGCUUGCCUCUCAACAUGCUAUUGCUAAUAAAACCAUUAUCCUGUUUAGACAACAUAUGGCUUGGACUCUUGCAUCAUGGGAGAAGUUUGCUAUAUCAUCCCCAAGUGUGGGAAGUGUAGGAAUUAUUUAAACUGCUCCAAUUUUAUCUUUGUUAACUAUAGUUUGUGUUGCAGGUUGUGGAAUGUGAGUUGUUGGUGGUCCCCGCAAGCAAAUUACCAUACGAGGGACAUGACCCAGUUGAGACAAUUGCAACAUUUUUUAGCUGUGUUAUGUCUGCUAUUGGAGGAAACAGUGCUGGUCCUGGCAAUGCUGUGGUUAAUGUGUACAUCAAGCACGAGAAGAAGUUUGCUUUUGUGGAUAUGAGAAAUGUUGAAGAAGUGAGCAAUGCAAUGGCAUUAGACGGGAUAACGUUUGAGCACUUCAUCACCAAUUAGGAGAUACUGACGAGCCAAACGAUGGCAAUGCCUCAGUGAAGAAGAGAACUAAUGUGUUACUUCUUGGUGAUCGCCUUGGAGAUCUAGGAAUGUCUGAUGGUUUGAACUAUGAGAACCAAAUUGUUGUUGGAUUCUUGUAAGUAAAUCACUGCCUUUCUGUCUUUUGUAGUUAUAAAUUGUCAGUUUUCCUUUUUCCUGUGAACCGUUACUUGUAGAUAAAUGGUCUUAGUUGAAUUUGUUGGGGUUAUGUUUCAAAAGCUUGUUCCAUCAGCAGAAUUCCAACCAAAAUACCAUAUGCUACCCUAAAAUCAGUUAGAAUAUUUCCCAGUUUUAGACGAAGUUGUAGAUAACUAAACAAAAGAAGUCCUAGGAAUUUUAUGUCGAUGGGAACAAAGCCUCAAUUGCAUUAUUUUCCUUUUCGGAGUUCAUUUUUCUUCAUUUGUUUAUUAUCUCUUUGGACAUCCCAUUUAAAAGCCUUUACCAUUACAUGAUAGUUAUGGCUGUUAUAACAGUUAAAUUUGAAGAAAAUAAAACAUAGAAAAGUCGGCAAAAUCUACAAUAUCUGUUUUACAUCAACCAUUCCAAUUUCUUCCAUUAACGACCAUUAAUAAGAUGGGUGUUUUUGACGAAAUGGCCGCUAUAGCAGUUUCUACAACCAUGCUUUUAACUUAAGCUACAUUCAGAUGUGCAGUUGAUUUAAAUUAAAUUCCAACAAGUAAGAUAUCCAAAAUUGGAUUACUCCCACUUUAUUUAGUGAGUGAUAUGUUCCAAGUUGCAAUUGCAUUUAUUUUAAGUUGGACUUGAAACAAAAACAAUUGCAGCAAUGUUGAGAGAAAACUGCAUCUAUAAUCAGAAAUUGUUGCGAUUGUUUAUU